rnacentral:rRNA from 1 species
AUUGAACGCUGGCGGCAGGCCUAACACAUGCAAGUCGAGCGGAUGAAGGGAGCUUGCUCCUGGAUUCAGCGGCGGACGGGUGAGUAAUGCCUAGGAAUCUGCCUGGUAGUGGGGGAUAACGUCCUGAAACGGGCGCUAAUACCGCAUACGUCCUGAGGGAGAAAGUUGGGGAUCUUCGGACCUCACGCUAUCAGAUGAGCCUAGGUCGGAUUAGCUAGUUGGUGGGGUAAAGGCCUACCAAGGCGACGAUCCGUAACUGGUCUGAGAGGAUGAUCAGUCACACUGGAACUGAGACACGGUCCAGACUCCUACGGGAGGCAGCAGUGGGGAAUAUUGGACAAUGGGCGAAAGCCUGAUACAGCCAUGCCGAGUGUGUGAAGAAGGUCUUCGGAUUGUAAAGCACUUUAAGUUGGGAGGAAGGGCAGUAAGUUAAUACCUUGCUGUUUUGACGUUACCAACAGAAUAAGCACCGGCUAACUUCGUG